rnacentral:rRNA from 1 species
UACGGAGGGUGCAAGCGUUGCUCGGAAUUAUUGGGCGUAAAGGGUAGGUAGGUGGUCUCAUUUGUCUGAGGUGAAAGCCUUGGGCUUAACUCAAGAAGUGCCUCAGAAACGGUGAGACUAGAGUCCUGGAGAGGGUCGUGGAAUUCCCGGUGUAGCGGUGAAAUGCGUAGAGAUCGGGAGGAACACCAGAGGCGAAGGCGGCGGCCUGGACAGGAUCUGACACUAAACUACGAAAGCGUGGGGAGCAAACAGGAUUAGAAACCCCAGUAGUCC